GAAUAAAAAAAUAAAAAAAAAUAUAUAUUUUUUUUGUUUUUUUAUUUACAAAGGCUGGGGAUCACAGGACUCGACACAUCAGGAGAACAGAAUGACGUUCAACGGCUGACAAAGAACAAGAACUGGAACACACUUUAAAUACACUGGACUUGAUGAGGGGAACACAAGGGACACCUGGAACUACUGAGACAAUAAACAUGGGAAACACCUGGGACAAAUUAACUCAAUACACGGAAGACAGAAAACUGGGUAACGGAGCACAUGGGGAGCAAAAA